rnacentral:lncRNA from 1 species
UUUGCCAAUAAUCAUUAUUUAUUAAUUGCAACAUGACAUACAUAUCCUGAAUUAAUCAUAUUGCUUACAGACCUUGCAUUUACUGCAAAAAUUCCUAAAUUCUGAGAAUAAUUACCAUCACAAAAGACUACUGACAAAGACUACUGACUCCAAAUUUCUACAUGGGUACAAAUACAUGAUGGGUUUGAACUGCACACUGGGCUCUCCUUAGGCAGAGCACUCUUUUUUUCAGUGGAAUAGUCAGCACAUAUUCCAAUAGCUCUCUUUCUACUUAUCAUUAUUUCAAAAAAAGACUCAAACCUGUUUCUUUGCACAAGCUAAGUAUGCAGGUCUUUGCCAAGAUUCCUGUCUAUUGUGCAUUUAUGAAAGCAAACAUGAAUGCCACUGAUUCCAGUAGGAAGUCUUGCAGGCCUGACACAUUCAGUGCCAAAACAAGGGCUCUAAUUAGCGAGCAGUUCUGGUCAGACAAUAAAGGCCUUAACCUUCCUUGGGGAAUAAUGAGCUAGGCAAUGUCUGAAGCCCCCAGAUAAGCUUUAGAGAACAGGGAGAUUGCAGAGAACUGCAUUAAAGGGACUAAACUGACAGACAGAGGUGACCGAACGGUGAACUGUGCACUUGGCAAUCAGCAGCCAAAUGCCUGCUAUACAUAGGCAUCAUUCAGUCUUUGGUUUCCCUUCUUUGUCUGGAUUAUCAACAGAAUUCAAAGGAUUAUAUUGGUUAUUACAACUAUUUAAAACAAAACAAGGGAUUUGUUUAAAUAGUUUUUAGUACCUCCAAACUUAAGCAAUUACUUCUAUUCAAAGACAAUGCUUCUUGACAAUACUACAUAAAAUUUUAUCUUAACAGAAUAAUUAAAAACUCACGAGCAGUAUCAGCCUUUGAGAAGUAGAAUUGUUCAGCACCAUGUGUAACUUAAGACUGUUAUCAAAUCAAGUCACAUACUUUUAAGUAUAUCAAUUUCUAAAGAAAUCUAUCUAAAGAAUAAACCUACAUAGAAAGUCCUUUCAUAUUAAACACUGCAUAAGCACUUAUACAUACAUGUGAGACCUACAUCUAGAUUUUGUUAUGUAAGUUACCUUGGAUAGCUUUACUUCUUUCCUCACAUCGCCACUUUAGAGUUCUGACAAUCACAAAAAUCUCAUUUUAAAAUACUUUACAUAUAAUUACAUGAAAUGCAUAAAAGAGCUUAGACUUCUUAGAAGUUUACAGUGGCAAAAAAAAUUUAUAACAAUCAGGCAAUCAUACAUUAACUGUGAAUGUUAUGAGAUGUGCAAAGCUUGAACAGAAAAAAAAAAAUCCAAAUACUAUACGCAUUCUACAUAAUAUGUAUGCCGAAUAUGUGUUAAGACAUUCCUAAAACAAAUUCCUCCUGUUAAAACUUUUCAAGAGACUUCUGAAAAUACAUUAUUUUUAAACAAAAUGCAAAUUCUAAAAAUGAAAUAUUAAAAGGAUAAACAGAAACUAAGAAAAGCAGACAUUUAAAUUUGUAUUAUACUGAUUCCCAAAUUGCAGUUGUCCUUUUGACAGGAAAAUGUUUGGUCUUUGUGAUGUAUGUUUCAUUUUCAGUGUCAAGUUGAUGUUAAUUUUAACUACUUGCUUUCCAUAAGUAUCCUUCGUUCUUGAAGAGAUGUAAGAAAAUUAUUUGGGGAAAAAAACACCAAAACAAACAACCCAAGCAAAAAUCCAACAAAUACUAUUUCAAGCUAAUUCUUGAAGAGACGUAAGAAAACUAUUUAUGAAAAAACAUUAAUAAUUUCAAACUGGUUUCUGAUAGUCAAGUUUUCUGCAUUUUGUUUAGAACUGAUUAUUCUUACUAGCUUAAGAGUCUACUAUGUUUCUCUUAGCAGCAAUAUUGCUAUAAAUCUAUUCUAAAACAAUUAAGAGAUAUUAAAAAAAAUCCAGAAGAAAGUAAGUGUAUCAGGAAUUAUGUUUAUAUUAAAAAACCCUCUACCUUAGUUGCAAUAGUACAUGGAGUGGUCUAAGGAAAUAAAACCACAGAGCCACAAAAGCAUUAUUAGAACUCAGGACAAAAAUACACUUACAAUACUGCUCUUCUUUUCUCCAAAUCCAUGCAGAGUAGAAUUAAGGAUAAAACUUAAAAUGCAUAAAUAAAUCCUACAAAUGGCUUUCUUAGAAACUCACCCAUAUUCAGACAUCUCUCUCUAAGAAAGUAUGUAGACACAAAGUACUCAAAUCCAGCAAAUACUAGUAUUUUUAUUAAAUGUGGACUUGUCAUGGUCAAUAGACGCCAAACAAGAAUGUCAAGGGAAAGAAGCUGUAGAGGUGUUACAGAGAACAGAGCAUCAGGGCUCAUUUCGGGUAAAAUUUCAUGAAAGAGAUGUCAACUCCUACUGCCUCCUUGCUCUCACAAGAGGCAGAUAGUCCCCUCCUCACUCCCUGCUUAGUGGUAUGGCCUCAGAUAUCCCUCAUGGCUGCUCUUGUUCCUGGGUUGAAUACACACAAGAAAGCCCUUUUCCCCUCAAGCCCUGCUGACCAGCCCAGAGAGCUGAACUGGCAUGCCAUGGGAAGAGGACACUGGCAAAAGCAUCUAGUCAAGGGGAAGUGCAUUAUCACUAGCAUUAGGUCUCCUGAUUAGCACUGCUGCCUUUUGAAACCUCACCACCUUAAAAAAAAAAAAAAAAUUAAAAGGAGAAAACCCACAGCAGUUCUAGAAAUAACAAUAUUCAUCAGUAUUUAGACUCUCAAUCUAGAAC